rnacentral:rRNA from 1 species
GUAGGUGGCAAGCGUUGUCCGGAAUUAUUGGGCGUAAAGCGCGCGCAGGCGGUUCUUUAAGUCUGAUGUGAAAGCCCGCGGCUCAACCGUGGAGGGUCAUUGGAAACUGGAGAACUUGAGUACAGAAGAGGAAAGCGGAAUUCCACGUGUAGCGGUGAAAUGCGUAGAGAUGUGGAGGAACACCAGUGGCGAGGGCGGCUUUCUGGUCUGUAACUGACGCUGAGGCGCGAAAGCGUGGGGGAGCAAACAGGAUUAGAUACCCUGGUAGUCCACGCCGUAAACGAUGAGUGCUAAGUGUUAGGGGGUUUCCGCCCCUUAGUGCUGCAGCUAACGCAUUAAGCACUCCGCCUGGGAGUACGGCCGCAAGGCUG